rnacentral:rRNA from 1 species
GCUUUGGGUACUUUCAGGACCCGUCUUGAAACACGGACCAAGGAGUCUAGCAUGUGCGCGAGUCAUUGGGAAUCACUAAACCUAAAGGCGUAAUGAAAGUGAAGGUCUUCCYUUGCGAGGACCGAGGRAAGACGGGCGGUUCGCCGUUAAAAGCGGCCGUUCAGCAUUCCCGGGGCGUCUCGUUCUCAUCGCGAGAAGAGGCGCACCAAGAGCGUACACGCUGGGACCCGAAAGAUGGUGAACUAUGCCUGGUCAGGACGAAGUCAGGGGAAACCCUGAUGGAGGUCCG